rnacentral:rRNA from 1 species
GAUGAACGCUGGCGGCGUGCCUAAUACAUGCAAGUCGAGCGAACGUACGAGAAGCUUGCUUCUCUGAUGUUAGCGUCGGACGGGUUAGUAACACGUGGAUAACCUACCUAUAAGACUUGGAUAACUUCGGGAAACCGUAGCUAAUACCGGAUAAUAUUUUGAACCGCAUGGUUCAACAGUGAAAGACGGUCUUGCUGUCACUUAUAGAUGGUUCCGCGCUGCAUUAGCUAGUUGGUAAGGUAACGGCUUACCAAGGCAACGAUGCAUAGCCGACCUGAGAGGGUGAUCGGCCACACUGGAACUGAGACACGGUCCAGACUCCUACGGGAGGCAGCAGUAGGGAAUCUUCCGCAAUGGGCGAAAGCCUGACGGAGCAACGCCGCGUGAGUGAUGAAGGGCUUCGGAUCGUAAAACUCUGUUAUUAGGGAAGAACAUAUGUGUAAGUAACUGUGCACAGCUUGACGGUACCUAAUCAGAAAGCCACGGCUAACUACGUG